rnacentral:rRNA from 1 species
GGCGCGUCCAUGCAGUGAACGAAGUACAUACUUAGUGGCAGACGGGUGAGUACAUGUGGGUAUCUACCCUUUGGCCUGGAAUAACACGAGGAAACUUGUGCUAAUACUGGAUAAGUCUUUACGGAGAAAGCUUUAUGCACCAUUGGAUGAGCCUGCACUUGAUUAGUUUGUUGGUGGGGUAACGGCCUACCAAGACUUUGAUCAAUAGCUGAUUUGAGAGGAUGAUCAGCCACAUUGGGACUGAGACACGGCCCAAACUCCUACGGGAGGCAGCAGUGGGGAAUCUUGCACAAUGGAGGAAACUCUGAUGCAGCGAUGCCGCGUGAGUGAAGAAGGCCCUUGGGUUGUAAAGCUCUUUCGUCGGGGAAGAAAAUGACUGUACCCGAAUAAGACAGGUCCGGCUAACUUCGUGCCAGCAGCCGCGGUAAUACGAAGGGACCUAGCGUAGUUUCGGACAUUACUGGGCUUAAAGAGUUCGUAAGUGGACGAAAAAGGUGGAGGAGAAAUCCCAGAGCUUACUCCUGGAACUGCCAUCAAAAUUUCAACUAGAGUUGAAAAGGA